rnacentral:tRNA from 1 species
GGGAAGGUGGCUCAGUGGUGGAGCGCUUGCCUUGCAUGCAUGAGGCCCUGGGUUC